rnacentral:rRNA from 1 species
AUGUCCUAUGAAGCCAUCUACUCUGAUCCAGUAAAGAAGCCACUCCAUCUGCAGAAUGCUGAAUAUCAAAGCUUCACACAACCUAUUGAAGGCAUUCACGUACCAAACUCGACUACUCCUGACUAUCCCCUGGCUGGCAACUUGCGUAUGCCGCAUCGCGCCAAUACUGAAGUCACUGCCAGUAUAAUUGCUCAAAGGCCUCGGAAGCGUUCGCGUGUCCUCAAUGAUCGUGAGCAUGUGGUAUCUUUGCAUCAGAAGCAGGAUAAGCAUCAUGAAUGGCUGAAAUGGAAAAUGCAGAGUCUUUUGGUGGAUGCCAAUCGUAUUAGCAACCUGGCCACCAAGAACUCCUUCGUCGCCCAUGAAGCAUGUCGGCGGUCCUGGAAGAGCCUUACCUUGCUCUGCUCUGAAGAUGAUCUUCGUGAAGAUGGCUUCACUGAGAAAUUCAAGUUUGACUCCAGGCCCCCGCAAUCUGCAAGUUGGCGUCCAACACCUUCUAUGAAGAUUCUGAGUACUCAUCUUCGGCUGCAACUAUUGUUGCGAGAGUCGUCGAUGAAGAAGACAACGCCACUUCACCAGUAUUAG